rnacentral:rRNA from 1 species
UACGGGGGGAGCAAGCGUUGUUCGGAUUUACUGGGCGUAAAGGGCACGCAGGCGGCCUAACAAGUUGGAGGUGAAAUCCCGGGGCUUAACCCCGGAACUGCCUUCAAAACUGUUAGGCUAGAGAUCGAGAGAGGUGAGUGGAAUUCCUAGUGUAGAGGUGAAAUUCGUAGAUAUUAGGAGGAACACCAGUGGCGAAGGCGGCUCACUGGCUCGAAUCUGACGCUCAGGUGCGAAAGCGUGGGGAGCAAACAGG